UCAGUGGAAGUUGAUGAGGAAGCUAUACAUAGGGCCUCCCCAAAAGAAAGGGUCCUAUAGCUUUUCUCCAGAGAUCAGAAAGGUGAUUUUUGUCUGAAGGGUGGAUUGGGGCAAAUUAGCCAGAUGAGCUGUAACCCCAACUGCCUACUUCUAGAGGAGGGGUUUGUAGCCUAGAAAGGGGACAGAAAAUCAAAUACAUUGCACUUGGCAGUGGCUGUUUAAAUAUGAGUAGUGAAAAGUGAGUAUUUGACCCUAUUCUGUGUCUUGUCCAAGCUAUGUCCUGACAUUUGCUCCCACUACAGUAAAUAUUAGUUUUUCUCAUAAUUGACUAUAUAUCAGGUUUCGGUGGACAGGUGAGUAGCAGGCAAAUAAAAUGGGACACAUGAAGUUCAUGAACCGAGGGGCAUUGUCUAGGCAAAGCAAGAUCUCCUGUUUUCUUGCCCUGAAGAAGUAACAGCAAAAAGGAAACUGUUCAAUGAAGAUUUAAGAGACACAGGUGAGAGCAUCUUCUUCAUGACUGUAAGCUCCUGAAGGCCAAGGAUUAUAAUUGUUCAUGUCUGCAUCUCCACAGUAGGACCUGGCAUGUGCAAUGUAUGAAAGUUCCAGUUGCUCCACAUCUUUGCUGAUAUUUAGUCUUGUCAGUCUUUCUACUUUAAACCAUCCUGAGUUCUGCAGGAACAUCUGGCUGACUGGCAGUUACGUUUUCUGAAGGGAGGUGUUCACUAUUGCUACGGUUAAGGCAAGAGAAGCAUUUUCUGAGGAAGGCAAGAUACCUGGCAGUGUCACCAGUGGCACCUUUCCAAGCUCCACAUCUAUUACCUCCCAGCCGGACUCUGAAACCCUGUUGAGGGGCAUUUGGCCUGUCUGCCCCGUUGGGACAUGCUUCUCCAGAUGCUGCUAGACUUAAUGAGCUCUCUCCUGUCUGGGAGGCUUCAUCUGGGCAUCUGUAGUCAGACUCGGCAGAGGCUGGAGCAGCGAACGGAGAAUAAAAUAGGGGACCUGCCAGAAACAUGCACAGGCAAUUCAUAGGCAAAUACAUGUUCCCACAAAGACAUAAUAGCUAUGUGUAUAUGAUACCCUCUUGAAGUCCCCUUGCAUGAUCAUUCCAGUUAGUCUUGCCACCUUGAAGGCAUAUUUUAAACCCUGGCUGAGUAGUCCAUUGUGUGGUGAUUAGCUCUUAAUGAAGCUGAAAAUACCUAAAUCAUCUGACAAGUAAUCUGAAUUAAUUUUUUAUGCUAUAUUGCUAGACAAGUUGGUGUCAUGACAAAGACCUGUGCAUAUAUAUAGAGAUCUGCACGCACAGAUAUAGUGCACACACACCCAUAAACCUAGGCAUAAGGAGCAAUGGUGGGAAGAAGAAAACAAAAAAGAUGGGAAAGAAAAAGAGAAAGAAAACUUCAAAGAGAGCCAUGAACUGGAGAGUGUGAAACCCAAGAUGUUUUCAAGUUCUGCAGUUAUUAUUAGUCAAGUUUCCUAUGGGUAUGAGCAACUAUCAACUAUCAAGACUAUGGAACAACAACAACAAAAAAGGAAGCAACAUCAAAUGUUUAUUUCUUGCUCAGGAAGUUAAGAAAUUUUUAUCUGUGAAAGAGAAAAAGAAAAAUUAAAAUUGACAACAUGUGUAGUAUGGUUUUUGCAAAACAAAUUUCCAGUGUGCCAGGAAGAGUUGUAUAAAAUAUCUGAAGCAUUAUGCUGGUGACUAGAGGGAAGAGGUAAAGAUUCUCAGUUAAUAGUUCAUGAUCAACCACUUGAACUUGACUUCAGGAUAAACCUGUGAGUCCCCAGCCGGGAGAGGGCAUGUUUAUCUUUAGUGCAGUUUGGAGAUAGAGCAUUCCUGGGAAGAACAAUACUUGGCACGUUAUAGGUAUAAAAUAAAUAUUUGUUGAUGACACAGCAGCACUGCCUCCAAAUCAACAUUCUCUCAGUUCACAAAUACUAUCAAAGGAAGAAAAUUUUAGAACACCAAUGAAUGGCUAUUUUUCCCUCUUAAUCUCUGAGAGAUCAUUGUUUCCUGUUUCCAUGGUAACUAGAAGACUAGAAAUUGCCAAAACUUCAGAGACACUUGAAAUGAAAGUCAGGGAAAAAAAAAGGCAAAUGUUACAGGCAGCAUGUAUGACAGUGGGCAAAGUUUUUGAAAUUUGGGAAGACUUUAUUUCUUUGCUUGAAAUAAUACAAUGAUUUCCAGAACCUAGAGGUAAUACUUGAUGCCACACUACUGAAUGUUCAUUGAGUAGACUUUAUUCUUUUCUUGAAAGGAAAGGAGAGACCCAUGGGCCUUAGAAGCAAUCAAGUGAAGGUAAGCUGUUGGAAAUUGCUCUCCUGGCAAGCCUUAAUGUUAACCACAAUGAGGAGGCCAGUCUGUCUGAAGUGUCCUUGCUCCCUCCCUUCCAUGGUGUGAACAAAUAUUUAUUGAGCACCUAUUUUCUGGGUAACCUAGCCUACACACAACUAAGUGAAAAAUUACAACUCUGAUAAGGGCUUCUAAAAGUACAUGUAACUAUUAGAACAUGUAAUAGGCAGAGCUGACCUGUCAGUAAGGCCAGGCCUUCCUAAGGAAGUAUGAUUAAGCUGAGUAGGAGGAAACUAGGCAGUGGUUACCAGGCGUGGGGAGGAAGAACAUUCCAGGCAGUGGGAACUCCCGGGCAGAGGCCCUCUGGGGGAAGUAAGCCUCGAGGGUUCAAGGAACUGAAAGCAGUCCUGAGCAGCCUGCGCUGGCAGAACCCCAGAGAGUAAGGGGAAUGAACUUGUGGCAUGGCCAGCUGGAGGAAGUGAGCAGGAGCCAGGUCAUUGCCAAAACACAGCCUUGACUCUUGCAAGGUGGGUUUUUUAAAGACUUUGGUCUCUAUCCCUCCUCACUCCAGGGUGAGCUUGGGCUAGUAACAGGAAGGCAUGACAGGCCCUUGUGUGUAUCUGGGAAUGGCAGUUUCUGGUUCAUCUGAAGUCCAUCAGAAUAUUGCCAUAAAUUCCAGAUGUGAACCAUCAUGUUUCAAAGGAUUAUAAUUUAUUAAAUACUUUAAACCCAAAUCAUUUUCAAGAUAUAUUAUUUUGUGUAUAACAAUUCAGUGGACACCUCAGAGAAAUCAUUAUGACUUUCAAUUAUCAUCCUAUAUUAACCCCUCAGAAGCCAGCGUUUGCUCUCAUAACCUCCCCUAUAUUUGUGACCUAGCUGGAAUCCAGGAAAAGUCUGCAAGAAGCCAGAAUAAAUGUGACAAAGACCACAUAUAUUUUAACCAGAGGGUAGGUUCUCAUUAAGAACUACUUGAUCUUUCUUUUACAUAUUCUGAGUUCCAAGGCCACAGCAGAUGGGGAACAAUGAUUCAGAAAGGGAGAAGGUAUGGGGUGGUAUAUGACAAUAAUUGAAAGUAACAGGGACCGGAACAACUGUAGAG